CUCUCCCGCUCGCGCCGCCUCCUCCUCCCCACCCGCGUUUCCAUCUGCUCCUUCCCUGUCGCCGCCCGGCGUCCUCCCCAUCUAGGCCUUUCUCUCCUCCUUCCCCGCCGCUGCCCGGCCUCCUCCCCACCCGCGCCUCCCCCCCUCUCUCUCUCUCUCUCUCUCUCUCUCUCUCUCUCUCUCUCUCUCUCUCCUUCCAACCCCUACACCACCUCCCUGCCCCAUCCCUGUCGCCGAGGAGGAGCUCGCGCUCGGGGAGGACGAGGAGACGGCCACCUCCGGGGAGCAGCAGAAGGAGGAGGGGCACGCGGCGGCGGCGACCAAGAGGCGCAUGGCGCAGCCGACCAAGAAGGCCAGGAACAUGGACACCGGCAACAAGGAGCCCGAGUUCCUCGACAAGCUGUCCUCGCCAACGAGGCCCGCUACAGGGAUGGCUGAGAGGAUGUGAGGUCCCCUUUGUCUGUUGACUGUUCGAAUUGUGGGCUGGCAUACACACCACAGUAGUUAUUUGUAAUUCCAUUUGAUGGCUGGCAGGUGGAUAUUCAGGUCAGGAAGCUUGCAUCAACAGGGCUGACCCGAAGCUACCAAUCAGCAUGGAGGAUGCCAGAUGGAGUGUUGAGGAGUUGGCAAUAGCUGAAUUAAAGGGAGUGCCACUUGUCCAUGUUGGUCAGGACACACGCUUGGACUAUCGAUUUAUUGAUGUCCGAACACUGGCAAAUCAAGCCAUUUUCCGUAUAUAGCAUCAAGUUGAAAACAUUGGUGAAAGCAACACCAUCGGCGUUCGUCGCCUUCAUCCUUGACCUCCCCAUGUUGUCUCUGUACUGCCCAACGGUACAUCAUAUGCUUCUCCUCCAUGGUCGAUUGUUCACUAGGCUGGCCCAUGGAAGCACCACCACUCAGUGGCCUUAGCGCUGGACCACGAGGUUGGAUAGGGAAAGCAUGUGUAUUCUUUAAUUAUUGGAGGCUUUCAUAUUCAUAUAUCAAUACAAGGCGGGAUAUGAUGCAGGUGCAUGCCUUUAUUUUGUUUCUUUAUGAUCUUCUUCUCUACUUAAUGAUAGACGCAAUGUAUAGGCUGAAUUUGCUUUGGUGAGAACUGGUAUAGCACUGAAUCAGGCAAGGUGUGAAUAAGUGUGCUUAAAUGCUUUCUCUGUUUAUGUGUUUACUCCUUACUAUGUUGUACAAGUUUCCACUCUCGAAUUUGCCCUCUUUUAGGCACGUGUCUGUCCCACAUAUAUAUUGGUAAAAAUGUAUGCACUACAUAGGUUUCUUUCUCAGAUGUCCAUAUGAUAUUUGUACUGGAAGCUUGUUGUCCCCUUACCAUCUAUUUUCCUGGUAUGAGAGGAUGUCAGAUUGAGUUAUUCAUUUCCGCUACUUCCUAAUUGUACCCGAGAUAAACUCGAGGUGGUUUGAAGAUUUGUUUUGUCUAUUUUCAUUUCUUGAUUUUUUGUGAAAAGUGCCUCCAUGGGAUUAGCGAGGUGUAUUUAUGCUCACCCCUUUUUAGUGUUUGGUAAAGCCGACGGACUGCAAACAUUAUGUACCCUAUAUGGUCGCCUUUUGCCUUUUUAGUGCAUAAUGUGUCAUGACAGGUUCUUUUCCUGGAGGUAUCGAGUUAAUUUGCCAAUCAAGGAUAGCCAAUGAUCCAUUCUUUAAAAAUAAUAUAAUUAGAUGCCCUGUUCGGCUAGAUGCUUGAUGUUUCUCUUCAAUCAGAAAAUUAUGCUAGAUGCUUGAUGUUUCUCUUUAAUCAGAAAAUAGCGUAUAACAAACAUGUCUAAGAAAUUCUUAUCAAUGAGAAAGCUAAGGGAUAUGCUGAACCUCAAGAUCUGUUCUCGGCCUGACAUGUUUAGAAACUUGCAUUGCUGUCAAAGGAACCUAAAGAAUUAAUUGUUGCUACAUGUCAAGAUCCUUUCUCAUAACUCCGACAUGAUUACCACAAUAUUUUAUGGGAGGAUGGGAGGAUAUCUUUUGCAGGAUGAGCUCAUUAUCAAAAUCACUACUUGAAGUGGUUCUGAACUAACCGAAUAGAGCUUGCUUGCCCUUUAAUGAUACAUGUUCAAAAUAAUAUUUGUUGCUGUAAUGUAGAAGGUAAAAGGGAAUAAAAUGAUCCCUUCCAAAUGCUUUAGAAUACAUGCUUUAGAACACUGAUUAUUAGCUAUAACGUCUCUCUUUGCUUUGCUAGAAUAUCUCUUCACAUUGAUGCAUAAGCUGUGCCAAAAUAGAUACUCGAGCUCAUGAAUGUUGAGAAACUCAUUAGGGAAAAUGUUGCAAGUCACCUAUAGGCAAGCCACUUAAUUUACUUUAUUGUAGUUAUCAGUAUAUCGGUACCAUGUGGUCUUUCUUCUUAAAAUAUAGAGGAGGGUAAUCAUAUAUUGUUUGUUUGGUAUUUGCAUGUAGUUAUUAUUUCAUAAAGGCCUAUGUUUGACCUUCUAUUAUAUCAGGACAUCUUGGUUCUAAAUGCAUUCUCUGUUUGUUCUAUCUUUCCCUGUUUUGUCAUCUUCAGUAUUUUUUGUUUCUUCAUACGUGCAUUUUUAUCGUCCCAACCAUCCACUGUCCUGACGGGCACGCCAAGGCACACAUUUAAUUAUCAGAAGAUGGUUAUGUUUUUAUGGGGCCUGCAUUUGUAAUGGUUCAUUAAGGUCACCAUUGAGCCACCUUCUGUACUUUAGAGGCGUAUUGUGCGGCUACACGUUUGUGUUUUUUUAUCGAUUCACCCAUUGCAGUGUAAAUUCGAGUUCUUGGAUUUUUAUUUCUUCUUUCUUCUUUUUGGUGAGCGAAUUGGCUAAUUGAGCUAUUUUCCUCUUGGUUUGUUGCAACAAUUGGGAAGGAUCGUCGUGUAUUAUCUAUCAUGGUUAUUAGCUAGCAAGAGUGAUGCCACAAGUGGAUCUGCCCAGUAAAUUUGUUAAUUACUUUCUUGCAAGAAUGAAUUGAGUUUGGUUUCUAAUCCCUCAAGUCUAUUCAAGAUUGCCCAUUUUUUAGUUACAUACAAAUAUGCACCUUGAUUGCUAUGCAUAAUCACGUAGGUAAUUCCAUCUCUUUUUGUUGAUGCUUUAUCCUGCUUGGAUCAUAUAUACUGCACGCAUAUAAGCUUUCUAUACAUAGAUAACUAGAGCAUUAUAAAGUAGUGUGUCAUGUUCUAAUUAUAAAUGAAGAGAAAGUUAAGAACUUUGUAAUUACAUAGUAAAUCAUGGCUAGAUCGUAGAGGUUAGAGAUGUACAAAUGAUUGAUUAAACAUAUAUAUUUAUAUUUGCAACAACACAAUGGAUCAUGCCAAGUAAAUAUUUUUGUAGAAUAUAAGUCAGGUUUAGAACUUUUGAGCACGACAGCUGAAAAACCAAAGUAAAUCCAUCGUAUAUAUUCAGUAUAAUGUAUAUUUAGAUAUUCAUGGCGCUGCAUAAGCUUAAUCCAGUUCCCUGGGAGCACUAGCUGCUCGUGUAUACAUGUAUUUCUUGAUUCUAAUAAGAUGCAGUCAAUCUUUGAAAAUACAGUAAGCACCUGUCACUAAAUUUAGAACUGGCGUGAUGUGUCUCUAUGUUAAUAACUAUCAUGCUUGCAUAGCUGGUUGAUUUAGUUGAUUAUAAUCAAACUGGACCGUCAUAAUUUUAAGAUCAUGAUAAUUUAGAUGAAAAAUGAUCAAAGAAAUACAUGUACCAAAGUCACAUCUGUUUAGAUCAUGAUUAGGCAUACAAUUGCUCCUUCAAAUUAUUGUGAUAUUGUAGUGCUCUUUAGUCUAAUAAAUUAUGUAUUGUGGUGCUGCACCUCCUUUUCUCUUCUUUCCUGGACAUAAACUCUACAUGGGAAGUUACCUAUUGCCCGCUACACCUUUCUAUGAACUUUUGUUAAUAAUCUGCCUAUAAUUAUAAGAAAAAAUGCAUGAAUGUAUAUAGCUUUGCACCAGGACACUUUACUUUUGCUAUGACAGGUCAUUUUUGUGAGCUGCAGACGAUUUUGGCAUUGAUGUUCUCAUGGAAGUCAUCUUAUCUUUGCAAGCCUACUGAUAGAAUACACUCAAGAUAGGGCACCACAUGUCACUCCUAUGUUUAUAAGCUUAUAGAAGCAAACAUUUUCAUUAUCUUUGGCACUUAUAUUGUCAUGAUAUUAACUUGUGCAGCAGAGUUUUAAAAUCAGAAUGGGGUAAUAAAUGUGUCUGCUAUGACAAAGUGAGGACAAAACGAAUGCAUCGAGUUACUAAUGCAGUGGUUUUCAAGGUUGGGCAUUGAUAUCAACUAUGAUUAUUUAAUAGAGAAAUUAUGUUCAUAUGAAGCGAAAGAAAAGCAUGCGGUACCUUACAUUGACAGUGAUUAUUACGCCAUUGUGGUACUUCAAAUUCUGAUAAAGAAUAUAUUUCAUGACCGAGAUUUGGGAUUUGGAGAAUCUCAAUUCUGAUA